GACGAACGCUGGCGGCGUGCUUAACACAUGCAAGUCGGACGGAAAGGCCCUGCGUUUGUGGGGUGCUCGAGUGGCGAACGGGUGAGUAACACGUGAGUAACCUGCCCUUGACUUUGGGAUAACUUCAGGAAACUGGGGCUAAUACCGGAUAGGAGCUCCUGCUGCAUGGUGGGGGGUGGAAAGUUUCGGCGGUUGGGGAUGGACUCGCGGCUUAUCAGCUUGUUGGUUGGGUAGUGGCUUACCAAGGCUUUGACGGGUAGCCGGCCUGAGAGGGUGACCGGCCACAUUGGGCCUGAGAUACGGCCCAGACUCCUACGGGAGGCAGCAGUGGGGAAUAUUGCACAAUGGGCGGAAGCCUGAUGCAGCAACGCCGCGUGCGGGAUGACGGCCUUCGGGUUGUAAACCGCUUUCGCCUGUGACGAAGCGUGAGUGACGGUAAUGGGUAAAGAAGCACCGGCUAACUACGUG
rnacentral:rRNA from 1 species